GUGAAAAAACAAAAAAAAAAAAAAAAUGGAAAUCAAAAUCAACACAAGCGAUUCGCACCGCACAACUACAAAGGCCACGCCUCCAAGCACCCACAUUCCACCCAUGUUUGCGGGAUAGGUUGGAAAUCUAUGCGCGGCAUGCACAAAUUUAUCGCUGGCAUGUUUUAUGCAACCUUCACCCAAAUGCCAAAGUCCUGGUCGCGGUCACAGUGGCCAAUAUGCUACCGUCCAAGCUGCAUCCAUUCCACUCACGAUUCCCGACCACCUACCCCUGCCCGAUCUGCCCAUUGAACCCAUCAACAAGGCAGGCAGGCAGCAGCGAGUGGAGUCCCUUGUGUGUUCGCUUUUUGAUGUUUUGAGGUUUUUGGCGCUAAAAAAUGCCUUGCCCCACGGCGUUCGACAAAAAACUAUUGGCAUUUUUUUGCGAGCCGCAUGCCCUGGCAUCUCAGGCAUGGCUAUGCCAGCGAUAGAGCCCCGGAUUCAAAAGGGAAGCUCCCGGACCCUCACAUAUGCAGAAUGCCACCACGACUUCUGGCAGCUCACUAGUUGUGUUCACGAUGACCAAGCAGGGCUGUCAGCUCCAGAAGCGCACCAAAAUAUGUAUGAAAAUAGAAAAAUCGUUCC
ensembl:ncRNA lncRNA:CR45238 long non-coding RNA:CR45238